AUGGGUUCCAAACUGUAACGCGCGGUA
rnacentral:piRNA from 1 species